ACCUGGUUGGUUCAGUCAGUAGAACAUGGGAUUCUUGAUCUCAGGUUUGUGAGUUCAAUACCCUUAUUGGGUG
rnacentral:tRNA from 1 species